rnacentral:lncRNA from 1 species
AUCCUUAAAGUGGAACCACAUGUACGAGCAGCAUAAGUGACCGCUAGAAAAAAGUUAGUUAGCUCUGCAGGAGCCUUCAGAUGGUCUACAAUUUUGGUUUUGCUCUAUCCCACCAUGUUGCAAGCUCAUUCAGGCAAGGGAAAACAUCUGAAAUCUGAGCGUAUAUCCUUUAGGAUCAGUUUGAGAAAUACAUACAGCCAACAAAUAGCCAACAUUGCAACUUUUUUUGUAGAUGUUUCAGGGUACCAGCUUUGCUUGUCCUUUCUCCCUCCUGCUUUGCACCAGUCCUGUGACACCAGCCAUGUCCACCAGACUGAGCAGCCAGGUGUGCAGACUGCGGAGCUGGUGGAUGACAAAGCAUGAAGUUUGUCUAUAAAUGGUGGCUAACCUACAGCAGUUCUUCUCUGGCAAACUUUAUGUUCCUGUCCACAUGCUAAAGCUGCCAGCUGAAGAACUGUUGUGGUCAGCUAUGUCCUGCAACCCCCUUUAGAAAAUGAAGUAAUGAAGCAUCUUGAAGCAUUUACCACCCAAAGCAAAACCAGUGUGUUUGUGAGAACUUUUGUAAAUGCAAAGUAUAAAGCAAUAUUAAAGACAAAUAUGCAGCAUUACACACUGUAUGUAUUCAUUUGAAGAGAUCAAGUUGAUGCACCAACAUUUUAGUUUUAGUAGAAAUAUCUGUUGGAAGUGUUGGUCUGUUUUUAGCCAAAUAAAACCAAGCACCUCAAAUAAAGCCUGAUUUAU